UGGGGAGUGUUUGAAUGGGGUAUUGUUUAUGGUUUGCAGAGAAGAGAAUUAAAGAAAAGAUGGUGGAUGAUGUCGUGUUGCUGCAGUUUCAGUGCCCAUCUGACCAGCCGCGCGGAGUUGCCCUCAAUGCUGACCUGAUUAAGCCACUUCAGCGAUUGCGCGUCGGUGACGACCUUGAAUCUGGUGCCCUCCACAUAGUGUCGAAACUUCUCUAUGGCCAAGAUUACGGCGAGGCAUUCCCGUUCAGUUGCAGAAUACUUCACUUGGGUUGCUGAGAA